rnacentral:rRNA from 1 species
GGGUGAUAAUCCCGUACAUGGCUUAGGACCGCCCGAGGCUUUGUGAUACGCUUUCUAAGAGUCGAGUUGUUUGGGAAUGCAGCUCAAAAUGGGUGGUAAAUGCCAUCUAAGGCUAAAUAUUGGGGAGAGACCGAUAGCGAACAAGUACAGUGAUGGAAAGAUGAAAAGAACUUUGAAAAGAGAGUUAAACAGUACGUGAAAUUGCCAAAAGGGAAGGGUAGGAGGUCAGAGAUGCGGCCUGGGAUUCAGCCUUGCUUUUGCUUGGUGUUUUUCCCAGAUUGCAGGCCAACGUCGGUUUUGGGCACUGGAGAAGGGUAGGAGGAACGUGGCACCCCUCGGGGUGUGUUAUAGCCUCCUACUGGAUACAGCGACCGAGACCGAGGACAGCAGCGUACUCGCAAGAGCGGGCCUUCGGGCACCUUUACGCUUAGGGCGUUGGCAUAAUGGCCCUCUACCAC